rnacentral:rRNA from 1 species
UACGUAGGUGGCGAGCGUUGUCCGGAUUUACUGGGCGUAAAGAGCGCGCAGGCGGUCGUUCAAGUCGCGUGUGAAAGCCCCCGGCUCAACUGGGGAGGGUCACGCGAUACUGAUCGACUCGAAGGCAGGAGAGGGUAGUGGAAUUCCCGGUGUAGUGGUGAAAUGCGUAGAGAUCGGGAGGAACACCAGCGGCGAAGGCGGCCCCCUGGGCCGCUCCUGACGCUGAGACGCGAAGGCCAGGGUAGCGAACGGG